CCCGUCAGAGUCCACGUCCUUCCGAGGGCGUGCGUGCUAGUGCGGGUGCGUGCGUGAGCGUGCGUGAACGUGUAUGAGCGUGCGCGUGUCCGCCGCCGGUGCUGCUCCCGCGCCCCGUGUUGCUACCCGCGACUGCCGGGAUUCCCAGCUUGAGGAGUGCGUCGGCUGGCUGCCAGCAACGCCGCGGAGCGGGAGCGGAGCCGCGGAGCCGGCGGCAGGCGGCGGGCGGACAGAUUAACUUACUAUGGCAGAUCAGAGGCAGCGUUCACUCUCUACCUCUGGAGAAUCACUGUACCAUGUUCUCGGGUUGGACAAGAAUGCAACCUCAGAUGACAUUAAGAAAUCCUAUCGGAAACUUGCCCUGAAAUAUCACCCAGACAAGAACCCUGAUAAUCCAGAGGCUGCAGACAAGUUUAAGGAGAUCAACAACGCCCACGCCAUUCUGACGGAUGCCACAAAAAGAAACAUCUAUGACAAGUAUGGCUCUCUGGGGCUCUACGUGGCUGAGCAGUUUGGGGAAGAGAACGUCAACACCUACUUUGUACUCUCCAGCUGGUGGGCCAAGGCCCUUUUUGUCUUCUGUGGCCUCCUCACCUGCUGCUACUGCUGCUGCUGCCUGUGCUGCUGCUUUAAUUGCUGCUGUGGGAAGUGUAAGCCUAAGGCCCCUGAGGGCGAAGAGACUGAAUUCUACGUGUCCCCUGAGGACCUGGAGGCCCAGCUGCAGUCUGACGAGAGGGGAGGGCACUGACACUGUGCCGCGAGUGUUUGUGGUGGCAGCUGGGACUGUUGAGGUGUGAACAUGGACACUUGAGAGGCCACAGACACACCAAUCGUCAUACAGCCAGCGUCUGCCACAGAGACCACCCAGCUCACAGCCGACUCCCAUCCCAGCUACCAUACUGACGGGUUCAACUAAGUUCAGGAAAAGCUGUGAUUAGAGGAUGAAUCAGCACCCAGCCACUGCAACCUUAGAAUCAUGAACUGUAGUCACCGAGAUAGGGAGGAGUUGCUGACCUACCUGGCCGUGUCAGGCCCCUCCCACCUCCUCUACUCCCACCCAUCCAUCAAUCCUCGAUACAUGAAGUGCGUAGCAUGCAGUAUUUAAGGCAGUGUAGCUACGGUCUUCUCUGUUUUUCCUUUUUUAAUAGCAUGUAUGGGUUAUGUUCAGUGUCUGUGUUGUGGACAUGCCACGGCCUAGUUUCAUUAACUGGACAGUGGAGCUGCCUUGGGGCUUCCAGUCAGGUUGGUCCAGGAAGGGCUGACUACAGCUGCCAGGUUCUACCUGGCCAGUUGGGCUAGGAAACAACAGGCCUCCCCUUGCUUCCUGGUGCCCACCAGGACUGGAGGUAGGUGCUGCCUGGUAGAGCUGCAUCUCCUUGACCUUGGUGUCCCAAGGUGGGAACUGGUUCACACUCUGCUCCCUGGCCUGGAGGCUGUAGGCAGGGCACUGAUCUCUGGCUGGAAAAGGAAGUGGGCCAAAUCCUCCCGGGUACCACCAGCAUCAUAGUUAUUUUAGCAAUGUUUGUGUUAUACACAGUUUGCACCUUAUUUGCUUGGCUUCUUGGUGAAGUUUCUUCAGGGGAUAGAUCUGCUAUGGAAAGCAAGAAACCUCCAUUCCAAGGUGAACUUGUGCUCGGCACAGCAUCUUUAGCCUGCGUCUCUGCCAUGUGGACCGAGGUUCCUAUCCUUAGAGGUGUCUCUCUCACCAGUGUGGGGAAAGUCGUUUGUCUUUGUUGCUGUACCUUUCUCAAGCCAACAACUGGAUUGAUGGGGCCAUAGUCUCUUCUCUCUCUUCUGUAGUUCAAACUCCACAUUCCUUCAGACUUACCUGUUUUUUAAAUCUGUUUUUCAGUUUCUGGAAACUGCAGGUGAUAGCAUCUGCUUAGUCAUAGUGUGAGGGUCUGUGAGCCCAGGUGGUUGAUGGCACGUAGCUGCUUGUGCCUAGGAAGUGUUGUGUAGGUCUGUGGCCCCUGACAACCUCCUCUCUGUGCUUGCCAGAGUGUGGUGUCCCGUCUAUGCCCUUCCUUACCCCCAUCCCCACCUUCUUUACCUCCAUGGUUCAGCAGAGCAAGAAUAUUGGGUUCCAGGUGGGAGGCAUCUGGAACCAAGAUGCCUCGGGAGAGUUGGUCCAAGGGAGGCUGCAGUCAUGCCUCAGCUCAUCAGCCAACCUGGAAGGUUAGUGCUGGAUCACAAACCACUGUGUAAACCACUAGCAGUCAGUCUCUCCCUCUGUGCCCCACACCUUGUGGGUAAUGCCUCAGGUCAGGAAGCUGAGGAGAUGCAAACCAUGUGCCCAUACUGACCAAGGUUUGGAACCCCCUCUCCCGAAUCUACCUGCCUGUGCUAGACCAGACUCCAGUGGGCUUUAUUCCUACAGACCUUUCAGUGCCAGGCAUUCUCUCAAUUUCCAGUAGAGAUGGAGGAAAAGAAGGCUCACAUGGAGACUCCAUGGCCCAGGUGACUUGUGUACCCCUGAAGGCUACUUUCCCUCCCUCCCCCCCACCCCGCCUGCUGAUUCUUGGCCCCAGCUCACCAGCAUAUCUAGAGAGGAGGGUCAGGGUGACAGGAAGUGCAGGAAGGGACACCAAGGUAGGGAGGACAAACCUGACAUGCUUCACAAUGCCUCACUGGUUGGAAGUCCCCAGCCUGUCCUAGUUAGAACACAGUGACACUGCAGCCCCCAGCUGCUGUCCCUCAGGAGCUUGUUGGUUGCCAGCACCAGGUGCUUGAAUGUGUGUGUCUGUUUUGCUCGUUAAAAUGAUCAUGAAGACAUUAGGAGAACAUUCAUCUACGAUUUGUUAGAAAUAAUUUGGUAAUAUCAGACCUUGUGGAAGGGUAAGAAAUAACACUGUUGGGCCUGCCUAGAAACAGGAGGUGAGACAGUGGAUACCUUGUGGGCCAGCCCCAGUAUGACAGCAGUGAGGGACUCUGCAGAAAGGCCACCUGUCAACCUUUGUCACUUCCUAGAGAUCAGUAGAAAGUGAGUAGUUCUUCCCCAUAAUGGCCAGAAACCAGGUUCAGUGUGUAGAAAAAUAAAAAGUGUGAUGACCUGGCUGGGGGCUGCAGGAACAGCCAUCGUGGACUGUAGCUCUGUGGCUCUUCCUUCCUGUCCCAGGGACCCCGGCCAGGUAGCUCUUCAGCUGGAGAGCCCUGGGUAGUGGCUCGGAGGGAGAGCAGCACUUAACUCCUGUGUCCUGUGGAGUUUGUAAAGCUAAAGAAAUCAUGUAGAAUGUGUGAAAAUGAACACGACAGUUGUCAGGAUGAUGACAGUGAUUGCCCAAGGCCCAGCUAGGGAUAACUCUGAAUGCCAAGGUUGGGACUCCUUCCCACCACCUGAUCUUGACGCAAAUCGCUCUUCAGUGUUUCACUGUGUUGGUCUUAGGCCUGCCUGGUUUUGGCCCUUUUGAUAACUAGAGUCUUGGGGAGUCAGCUUGUACCACUUCCUGUCCAAGUGCUAAUAAAUCAGAAUGACCCCUGGCUCUCCUCAGAUUCCUAUGCUGAUGGCCAUAGCAGGCAUCCAUUCCCAGGGUACAGAUGGUGCCAGGGUAUAUUGCCUGGACAGUGCUACAGCCGUAUGCAUGGAAGCCUGUCGCAGCCACAGGUGUCCCUCAGGGUCCUGGCAACUCUGGUCACUUCUAAGGUGCAGGAAGAAUGUGGGAGAAACCUGUGAGGCCAUCUCAUGGGAGCUGCUGCUGCUGUGUAGAUUUCUGUUUCUGCAUAGUGAUGUGAUCUUUUCUUGUCUUCCUUUUGGCUUUAUUCUAUUUUUAAACUGCUUUAGAUAUUACUGCUCACUGUUCAUGAGCCUUCCUAGUUCUCUGAUGUUCAGUUAAUAUAGCCAGCACCCAGUGGGACCUGUUAGAAAAAGAAACCAGAGCACUCAGUGUAGUUGGCCAGAAACUUCAUCUCAGUGUCGUCGGUUGUUGGACUUGACCUCCAGCACUAGUCAAAGAAAGACCCUGAAUCACAAAAUGUCAGUAUUCCAGCUGUCUGACACCAAGUUCUGCUGGCAGCAGUGCCCAUGGUCCUGCUGAGCCCAUGGCAGUCUGUUCAGGGGAGCCCUGUGCUGGACAACAUCCACCAGUGCACCUGGCUGUCUCAAGAGAUGGUGGCCCUGGCACGCAGGCUGUCAGUAGAGGGUCCAGGUGCUGCGGCAGAACUGGGUGGAUCUCCUGCCACGGGCCCUCAGCACACCUUGCCAUGGAGAGGGUUUGUGAGAGGCGUACCAAGUGACUGAUCUCAUUCCUUUCCCAGUGUUCUGUGCCGUGAACCCAUGUGGCCCAGGACCAACUUGUGUCUGUUAUAUUUUGCUCAUGAAUCAUCUUCCUGUGGAAUUGGCAAGAGCUACAUCUUUACUGUACUCACAAGCACGGUUUGCGUUGUCAUACGCUGUGAGUGUGGGCUGUGGUGUGUGUCUGUGUGUACAUAUGUGUAUAUGUAUAUAUCAUGCAGCAAGCCUGUCAUGCUGCUGUCCAGUGGCUAAGCGACAAGUACAAUAAAGUUCGCUCUCAAGUAACUCUGGUUUCUUGGCAAGUUGGGUGGGGUAGGGUCCUCCCAGCAGGUACACAGUGGAAAAUUGAGCCACUGUGUGCAAAAAGUGCUUGUGCCUGAAAGCACGGCUGAGGCCCCAUCAGCACUGGACCUUCAGGUUGUGGCUGUCACAAACAUGUCCAUCCUUGGGGGCUCUGUCCUGCUUCUCUGACCCAAAGGUAUGGGAAAUCUAGAAAGGAGGUGUCUGGAAAGCCUCCUCUUCCUUGAAACAUUGAAACUACUUUUUUGAGCACUAAAUGCAAUCAGUGGCAAGGUUGUCUGUGAAGGGCAGCCUGGGCAGGGACUCGAUGCUGACCAGUCCUGGGAAGGGGCAGAGGCAACAUAUACUCCAGGAAGGGCUGAGCCAAGGGUCCUGCAGGCAGCGUUUGGGAGAUUUGAUCUAUAAAAUGGGGCAGUGUUUCAACCUGAAUGAUGGGGGAGGGAAUUUACACUGAAGCAUAUAUAUGCUAUUUUUAAAAAUGAAAUGCAAGUGCCCGGAAAGCAGUUGUCCAUGCACUGGUUUUACCUUGCUGCUGAAAACCAGUCACUCUGGGGUGCAAGCUGCUGUCGGAGCCCUGGCUGACUCAGACUCUUGCCUGCACGCCAAGGACCAGGCUGCAGGGCUCUGAUGGUUUCGCAUGGUGAUCUCCGUCUUAUAUGUCUGAAUGUUGACCUAAAAUAAAGGUAACUGUAAAUUAAA